UGCUCUAAGCACUGAAUUAUUUGGUGAGAUAAUGAUGCCCCAAGCUGUGAGAGAAACAACAUAUUCGUACAGAUCAUGCUCUAUUUCAAAACAUGAGGAGUCCCUCACCUUGUUUGAGUGUACCAAUAUGUUCUGCAACGAAAGUUCUCAACUUCACUUGUGGGUCAUGGAAGAGUAUGGUGUUUGGACCAAAUUGGAUACUUAUUCUUUGCCUGUUCUUGAUAAAAUUGAAUUAAUUAUUUUCAUUUGCUUUGUCUUUUCAGGAUGAUGUUUUGAACUCCUAGUGAGUAGUGCCAAAAGAUAUCCAGUUUUACUUGUGUUCAACAUAUUUCUGGCGUUGUAUGAUUGCACUGACAGAGAUCCAUUUUAAGGUUAUCUAAGCCAUAUGGCUUCUUAGGGUCAGUUAGAUGUGAGUUCUUUUUUAUUAGACAAGAAUUAAUGGAAUAUAUGAGGUUCGAAAUUUUGUUAGGGUCAGUUAGAUGGUGCAAGUCUCUCUGAAUUGUUGUUUAUCCGACUCUAUUGAACUAUGAGCAAAGGUUGUUUAAG
rnacentral:lncRNA from 1 species